rnacentral:misc_RNA from 1 species
GAAAUGCGAUAAGUAAUGUGAAUUGCAGAAUUCAGUGAAUCAUCGAAUCUUUGAACGCACCUUGCGCUCCUUGGUAUUCCUUGGAGCAUGCCUGUUUGAGUAUCAUGAAAUCUUCAAAGUAAAUCUUUUGUUAACUCAAUUGGUUUCUACUUUGGUAUUGGAGGUCUUUGCAGCUUCACACCUGCUCCUCUUUGUUCAUUAGCUGGAUCACAGUGUUAUGCUUGGUUCCACUCGGCGUGAUAAGUUAUCUAUCGCUGAGGACACUGUAAAAGGUGGCCAAGGUAAAUGCAGAUGAUCCGCUUCUAAUAGUCCAUUGACUUGGACAAUACUUUUAUGAUCUGAUCUCAAAUCAGGUAGGACUACCCGCUGAACUUAAGC